UACGUAGGGGGCAAGCGUUGUCCGGAAUCAUUGGGCGUAACGAGCGUGUAGGCGGCUCGGUAAGUCUGCUGUGAAAGUCCAGGGCUCAACCCUGGAAUGCAGGUGGAAACUGUCGAGCUAGAGUCCGGAAGAGGCGAGUGGAAUUCCUGGUGUAGCGGUGAAAUGCGCAGAUAUCAGGAGGAACACCAAGGGCGAAGGCAGCGCGCUGGGACGGUACUGACGCUGAGACGCGAAAGCGUGGGGAGCAAACAGG
rnacentral:rRNA from 1 species